UCCCAUCCGUCGACUGCCUCUCCCUCUCCCUCUCCCUCUCCUCUUCUCCAGAAUCCAAUUUCUCCCCCAAAUUGAAAAUGAAGAACCCUAGACUCCAACUCCACCGCCAUUUCCCGUCACCAUCGCCGACCCCCCGGCAGCCCUUCUUCGCGCCUAACGGAGGUGUUCCGCCGUCUCCGACGCUACCUCUCUCCCUCUCUUUCCAUCUCACACUCAAAUUCCCAGUUUAGAACUUGAGGUCAAACCCUAGUUUCCCUUCUCCCUCUUUCUUCUCGGCGAACUUCGCCGCUGCACCGUCCGCCACGCACUCCGUCGCCGGAACCAUCUUCCUCACCCUCAAUUUCACGCCGCAAAUCCCCAAAUGGGGAAACCCUAAAUCGAAGAGGGCUCGACGGCGCCUCGCCCGCCGGCCACCCCGAUCGGUACACCUUCGCACUACCGCCGUCGUCGCUUUCUUCCUCGGCGUCUCGCGUUGGGCGCCUCCCCUGCCUUCGCGGCGUUGUCGACGCGGAACAAGAAUGGCCGUCGCCUCCUUGGUGGAACCGCCGCCGAUGUCGCCCGCCUAGGCUCACGCUGCCGCCGCUGUCUCUCGGCCUAGAAACAGUGAUGCUGCUGUCAUGGUGCAGUCGGUGUAAUUGGCGCCGGGUCAGCCUCCUCGCUCCAUACACCUACGCCUGCCGUCCCUUCGCCGUCGACACAGCAGCUGUCUCGCAGCAGCUUCUGGGGUUUCGUCGUCCAUUGAUCUCGCUCAAGCUAAGUCCCCUACUUGUUCAUUGUUUGGUGUACUACUUCCUUAUCCUUAAGUUAUGCUAUUUUUAGGAAUUUGGGGUGUGGAUUCAGUAGAAAAUAGUUCGACAAUUUGAGCUCGAUUGGAGUGAUUCUCCUAUACGCCUAAAUUCCAGUUAUGAUUUAACAUGCUAUCUAUAAGCUUUAGGCAGUGGCUUGUGAGGAUAGUGUCAUAUGGGUUGCUACUGUCAUUGUUGAGAUUCUACCUAUGUAAUGGUUGUUUCUUGCUAUUGAUGUGAGGAGUCUAUUGAAAUCCUAAGUUCUCAGCUUUCUAUUGGUUUGUUAUACAUGAUGCAGGUGUGGUGUUAUGGGGAUUACCUCUUGUGACUGUGAUGGAAUGUGGCUGCCUAGUUGUUGCUCACAACUGCUCCACUUUCUUCUCUAUGCGGCUGGUAUUUGCAGUGUGUGUGGUAAAGGGGACUUGAUGUGUGUUCCUUUGAGGGAAUUAUAUGGGCUGAUUCCUUUGUUUCUUAUGCACAGUACAUCAUUUGUCCUUGAUCCCCUUGCAGCCUUUCAUUUAAGGCAUUUUGGUGCUACUCUGCUCACUAACUCCAUCUUGUUACUACAUGAAAACCUAGUACUUGGCCAGUGAUUGAGUUUGUUUGUUGUGGAAAGUGCACAAUGAGAGUGUAAGGCGGUUAACUGCAGCUUUGUAGGGUUGCUGCAGCGGAUGGGACAGAUGUUGCAGGCUGACCUUGCCAUUUUUGGGCAAGGCUCAUUUUCUUUAUCGAAAGGAACUAUGAACUGAUCACAUCCCGCUGCCAACUUGCUGAUCCGGGCCCAACGGGCCGUCGUAAAUCGGGCCGAAGGAAGGGGCCGAAGCUUAUCAUUUCUAAAUUGUAAUAGGGUAGUGCUUUUCCAAGCUUUGUUUCUUUCAAACAUGUAUGAAACAUUUAUAAAAGUUAGAAUGUAUGCCUUUCGAGCACCCUUAGUUCGAAAUAAAACAAAUAUUGUCGUUC